AAAAGAUUCUUGCCUUUUGCCUAGAUUAAUGCUUUCCAUUAGGAUAAUGGGAACUUGGUCCAUAUCUCUUUGGUUUCUUCCCCUGUUCUCUUUACUAGCUUCUGGUAACUCAUCUGCCCAUUUCAUACCAAUAAGAUUCCCAACUCGAAUCACUCAGUUUCAGGCAGAGAAGAAGGUCUCUGUUUCUACUCCAAAUGGGUUGUACAAAGAGAAAUUCUUCACUCAAGUACUUGAUCACUUCAAUUUCAACCCCAAGAGCUACCAAACAUUUCAGCAGAGAUAUUUGAUUAAUGACACUUUUUGGGGGGGGCCGGAGAAGAAUGCUCCAAUCUUCUUAUACACAGGAAAUGAGGGAGAGAUUGAAUGGUUUGCUCAAAAUACAGGAUUCAUGUUUGACAAUGCACCUCGCUUCAAAGCCCUUCUUGUCUUUAUUGAGCAUAGAUUCUAUGGAAAAUCCAUGCCUUUUGGAGGUAAUAAAGAUGUUGCUUACAGCAAUUCAAGUACUCUUGGUUACCUGACUUCAACUCAGGCCCUGGCAGAUUAUGCCACUCUUAUCACUGAUCUAAAGAAGAAUUUGUCUGCAACUGACUCCCCUGUGGUGGUUUUUGGAGGUUCCUAUGGUGGAAUGUUGGCUGCUUGGUUCAGACUGAAAUAUCCUCAUGUUACCAUUGGAGCCUUGGCAUCUUCUGCACCAAUUCUUGGCUUUGUGAACUUGAUUUCUCCAUAUAGCUUCACCAGAAUUAUCACUCAAGAUUUUAGAAAUGAGAGUGAGAACUGCUACAAAGUGAUAAAAGGAUCAUGGCAACAAAUUGAAGACACAGCAAGUCAAAAGGGAGGACUUGAAAAGCUGAGAAAGUCUUUUAAAAUAUGCAAGAAUUAUAUUAGUGAAGGAGCUUUGGAGAGUUGGCUUUCCACUGCGUGGACCUACACAGCCAUGACUGAUUAUCCAACCCCAUCCAAUUUUUUAAACCCCAUGCCAGCCUAUCCAGUGAAACAGAUGUGCAAGGCGAUCGAUGAUCCAACGACCGGAAAUGAUACAUUUGCGAAACUACACAGUGCGGCUAGUGUUUACCGUAACUACACUGGAACCGCCACGUGUUUCGAUCUCGACGAUAAUUCUGAUCCUCACUUCCUCGGUGGAUGGACUUGGCAGGCAUGCACAGAGAUGAUACUUCCAACAGGAGGCAGCGAUGAGGAAAGCAUAUUUCCAGCUUCCGAGUGGGACUACAAUGAUAGGGCCACUUUUUGCAAAUCUUACUUUGAUAUUGAGCCUCGACCCGACUGGAUUCCCAUCGAGUUUGGUGGCCAUAAUAUUAAGAGGGUGUUGAGAAGGUUUGGAAGUAAUAUCAUAUUCUUUAAUGGGUUAAGAGACCCUUGGAGUGGUGGAGGGGUCCUAAGUGAUAUAUCCAAGAGCAUAGUUGCCAUAGUAGCAGAAGAAGGAGCUCAUCAUGUAGACUUGAGAUUUGCAACUAGUGAAGAUCCAACAUGGCUUCAAGAAGUGAGGAAAAGAGAGAUCAAGAUCAUUGCUCAAUGGCUUUCUGAGUACUACCAGGAUUUGGCCCUCACUUAUUCCUAAGUCUUUAUAUCAACCCAUGGAGACACUAUAAUACAACACCAACAACUAAAUCCUUGAUUUCAAAUUAGUCAAAAUACUUGAUUAUAUAAAAUUUGUUCUCCGUCGUUUAUUUCUGAUUCACACCAAAUUUACGUUAAUAUAUUUCAAUAUUAUAUUUGGAGACGGAGAUUGCAAUUAGGGGUGUACAUUAUUUCGUUAUAAUUAAAUAAUCAAAUCGAAU
rnacentral:misc_RNA from 1 species